rnacentral:rRNA from 1 species
GAUGAACGCUAGCUACAGGCUUAACACAUGCAAGUCGAGGGGCAGCAUGACCUAGCAAUAGGUUGAUGGCGACCGGCGCACGGGUGAGUAACACGUAUCCAACCUGCCGAUUAUUCCGGGAUAGCCUUUCGAAAGAAAGAUUAAUACUGGAUAGCAUAACGAGAAGGCAUCUUCUUGUUAUUAAAGAAUUUCGAUAAUCGAUGGGGAUGCGUUCCAUUAGUUUGUUGGCGGGGUAACGGCCCACCAAGACAUCGAUGGAUAGGGGUUCUGAGAGGAAGGUCCCCCACAUUGGAACUGAGCCACGGUCCAAACUCCUACGGGAGGCAGCAGUGCGGAAUAUUGGUCAAUGGACGAGAGUCUGAACCAGCCAAGUAGCGUGAAGGAUGACUGCCCUAUGGGUUGUAAACUUCUUUUAUAUGGGAAUAAAGUGGGCCACGUGUGGCUUUUUGUAUGUACCAUACGAAUAAGGAUCGGCUAACUCCGUG